AGCAGCCGCGGUAAUUCCAGCUCCAAUAGCGUAUAUUAAAGUUGUUGCAGUUAAAAAGCUCGUAGUUGAAUUUCGGGGUUAGUAGGUUGGUCAUGCCUCUGGUAUGUACUGGUCUCACUGAUUCCUCCUUCCUGAUGAACCUUAAUGCCAUUAAUUUGGUGUUUUGGGGAAUUUGGACUGUUACUUUGAAAAAAUUAGAGUGUUUAAAGCAAGCUAACGCUUGAAUACAUUAGCAUGGAAUAAUGAAAUAGGACGUUCGAUCCUAUUUUGUUGGUUUCUAGGAUUGACGUAAUGAUUAAUAGGGAUAGUUGGGGGCAUCAGUAUUCAAUUGUCAGAGGUGAAAUUCUUGGAUUUAUUGAAGACUAACUACUGCGAAAGCAUUUGCCAAGGAUGUUUUCAUUAAUCAAGAACGAAAGUUAGGGGAUCGAAGACGAUCAGAUACCGUCGUAGUCUUAACCAUAAACUAUGCCGACUAGGGGUCGGAUGAUGUUAAUUUUUAAUGACUCAUUCGGCGUCUUAC
rnacentral:rRNA from 1 species